CUGACUGGACAUCCCUGUCUACCUGUGACCUCCUGAAGCACCUGCAGCAGAUCUGCACUCCUUUGAGCUCAGUCUUAGUGCCACCCACAUCUGAGCCUCACUGGAGCUGGCAAGAACCCUGAAUAGAGCAGCCCCUCAAGCCGCUCUGGGAGGUGAGAUCUCUUCCAGUGCCCAUCUCAUCCACAGCUCUGUGAGCCAUUCCAGCACAGCAAGGAGCUGCCACCACAUAACCUUGCCUGGGACUGAGGCCAUCAACCCGCUGCAUGCUCCAACAAUCCAGACAUCCACUGAGCUUCCUGCUGCCAGCCUUGACAUAAGAAGUCCAGCUGGAUGGUUUGUGCUCAUCACUCCUCUACCAGCAAUAAGAGCUCUGCUGCCUUUAAUGUCACACCCAGCUGCAGAGAACUACAUUGAAAUUGUUGGCUCUCUAGAGAGUAGUUGGGAAUGACAGCACUUAUUCUCCCUGGGACUCUGGUGAUGGAGUGGGAUCCCAGUGCCCAGAACGUGUUCAGGGAGCUGCACCCAAUCCCUGAACUACCUGCAAGACCCUUUGCAGAUGGGUGACACACAGCAACCAGAGCAGCAGCCAGCCAUUCUGGUGUGAAAGGCAGUGGGUUCAUCAUUGCUGGGGAUUUGGAGGGAUGCAGAGCUGUACCAGACAGAGCUCUCAUUAUUGGUGGGGUGCUGUGGUAUUCAAGGACAACCCCACGUCCAAGGAGAACCAAGGAACCCACCACUGACUCCUGAGUCUCUUUCCUGCUUCAUCUGCUAAUGGGAGAGAAUGGGGUGACACAGCUGCUGCAAUUGGAGACCAUUUCCAAGGGACAAUUCAAGACUGUCUUGAGCAGAGUGAGGAGAAAACAAACACAGCAGUCUCUGACAGCAUGAAAGCAUUGCGAAAUGUCAACUAUCUGCUCACUACAGCUGCUGUGGGUGGCCUCCAGCAAACCGCAGCAGCAGAAAAAAUAAUGGCAGCAAUACAGAGAGUAAAAAGCUCCUGCAAAGGGGAAGAAACCUUUAUCAAUAUACACAGAUUUCCCUGCGAGCUUUCCAGUUUACAUAAGCUAAGGAAUGAAGGUUAGCUUGCAUCUACUUUACUGAGAUGCAUCCCAAAUCUAUUCUGCAGGCUGCGCUCUCCCAGAUGUUUCCGGUAGCUGGAUGGUGGUUGGUCUGCUGCCUGCCUUUGCCAGCUGUGCAGCCUGCUCCUGCACUGCCAAAUGUUUUGCCUGCAGACCGUAUUUCCUCGUCUGGAGUUGGGUUUUCUUAAUUACCCGCCUGUGUUCCUGCCUUACAGAAAUUAUUUGUUCCUGCCAGGCACUAAAUCCAAUGGUUGUGGGAGGUGUUUAUGUGGGAAUAAAAAUGGCAGGCUGACAAAUCCCUAGUGGCAAAGUUUUCUCUGGUGGACUUUUCACACUGAAACAGAGGAAGAUGAAGAGGGCUGGGAUGAGAGCCAGCCAUCCAGCUGCUGUUCUGAAAAUUAGCUGUGCUUCUCUUUUCUGAGUAGCGGUUGUUAAGUUUGAAUUUAGCACGGUGUCAAGUGUGGGUUUCAUGAUCUCAGCUUGUGCUCACCCUGAGCUGUUCUGGGGGGAGCUUGGCAGCACUCAGAAGAGACACAGGCACCACUGCUUCAGCUUUACCUAUUCUGGAGCAAAGCUGUGCAAGCAGUUUAAAUGCAGAGAAUAUUUCUAAGAAAACCGUGGGGUUUUCUUCCUUAGGGAGGUUGUAGAUUUAAAUUUAUUUAAUGAAAGCUGUGCUUCCUUAAACCCAGGUGCCUUUCUGCAUAAAAAUCAGAUGACCGAAGUGUGGGUUCUAGACCAAAUUCCUGAUGGCAGCCAAAGACGAUAUGCAUGUUCAUGGGGAGGCACAGAAGUGAGAACUGUGUUUGCUGAAACAACUAGGGAGGAAGGAUGCCAUGGUGUCCAUUAAGAAUUCAGCAGCUGAACUUCUGCAUGGGUCUCAGAGCCAUCUGGGGCUUUCACUCACUGACUUGUCUUCUUUCGCUUCUCCAAACUCACUGUAG